CUCACUCAUGUGAGCAGAAAGAGUAGCAUGAUAUUUUCUUCAAGGUCUUUACCAACCUUUCAUCGUUCCCUUCUUUGCAAUAACGCUGUUUUGCAAAACCGUGAUAGUGCUGAGCCGAUGAGCCUCUAAUGAAAUUAUAGACUCAUCGGCUCAGGACCAUUGCGGUUGUGCAAAACGGUGUUAUUGCUGAGAAGGGAACGCAUGAGAGGUUGGUAAAGACCUCAAUGGAAUCUUAUGGUACUCUUUUUGCUCACAUGAGUGAGU
rfam:Arabidopsis thaliana chromosome 1, complete sequence.